rnacentral:misc_RNA from 1 species
UCCGAGUUGACCCCGGCAGUAUCCCAUGAGUUCCCACCAUUACGUGCUGGCAACUAAGGACGAGGGUUGCGCUCGUUGCGGGACUUAACCCAACAUCUCACGACACGAGCUGACGACAACCAUGCACCACCUAUCGCAGGCCCUUUCGGACACCACAUCUCUGUGGCUUUUCCUGCGUAGUUCAACCCAGGUAAGGUUCUUCGCGUUGCAUCGAAUUAAGCAACAUGCUCCGCCGCUUGUGCGGGCCCCCGUCAAUUCCUUUGAGUUUUAGCCUUGCGGCCGUACUCCCCAGGCGGGUCACUUAAUGCGUUAGCUCCGGCACGGAGGGAGUCGACACCCCCCACACCUAGUGACCAUCGUUUACGGCGUGGACUAC